rnacentral:rRNA from 1 species
AGAGGGUGCAAGCGUUAAUCGGAAUUACUGGGCGUAGAGCGCGCGUAGGUGGUUUGUUAAAUUGGAUGUGAAAGCCCCGGGCUCAACCUGGGAACUGCAUUCAAAACUGACAAGCUAGAGUAUGGUAGAGGGUGGUGGAAUUUCCUGUGUAGCGGUGAAAUGCGUAGAUAUAGGAAGGAACACCACUGGCGAAGGCGACCACCUGGACUGAUACUGACACUGAGGUGCGAAAGGUGGGGAGCAAACAGGAUUAGAUACCCUGGUAGUCCACGCCGUAAACGAUGUCAACUAGCCGUUGGGAGCCUUGAGCUCUUAGUGGUGCAGCUAACGCAUUAAGUUGACCGCCUGGGGAGUACGGCCGCAAGGUUA